AGAGUUUGAUCCUGGCUCAGGACGAACGCUGGCGGCGUGCUUAACACAUGCAAGUCGAACGGAAAGGCCCUGCUUUUGUGGGGUGCUCGAGUGGCGAACGGGUGAGUAACACGUGAGUAACCUGCCCUUGACUUUGGGAUAACUUCAGGAAACUGGGGCUAAUACCGGAUAGGAGCUCCUGCUGCAUGGUGGGGGUUGGAAAGUUUCGGCGGUUGGGGAUGGGCUCGCGGCUUAUCAGCUUGUUGGUGGGGUAGUGGCUUACCAAGGCUUUGACGGGUAGCCGGCCUGAGAGGGUGACCGGCCACAUUGGGACUGAGAUACGGCCCAGACUCCUACGGGAGGCAGCAGUGGGGAAUAUUGCACAAUGGGCGGAAGCCUGAUGCAGCAACGCCGCGUGCGGGAUGACGGCCUUCGGGUUGUAAACCGCUUUCGCCUGUGACGAAGCGUGAGUGACGGUAAU
rnacentral:rRNA from 1 species